UUUGGUGUUCUUGUUGACACUUCUGAUUGCAUGUUGGAAGUGGCCAGCAGAGUACGUGUAGUGAUCCAGGGGGUAGUAGCAUGCCUCCCUCCAGGGCUCCCCAACAGACUGAGGGGGAACCCAAUCUCAGCAGACUGUGGCCCACCAGGCUCCUGGGAGCCAUAGGUCCCACAUUUCCCCAGCCCCAGCCGCCUUUCAAAGGCCCUUUAUUAAGCCACCAACUAUUUGCUGUCGAGACAUUUAGGAUGAAAUCAUUGUGUUAAACAAAUAAACGCAGCUUCAUCCAGAGUUCUGGUCUGGGAGCAGAGUAAAACAAUAAUUUCUGUCUGCUCGCCACAAAAGCGGCUGGAAAGGCCCAAAGAAAAAUAUUAUUUUUAUUCCAUUGUGUGAAAUAUUGUCCUGGAGGAUCUGACGGCCUGAGCUUUUGAAGAGUUUGUGCUGGCAGGUUCCACGGGGGUCCCCGGGGUCGGCCCCCUGGGACUGUUUUCUGCAUUAAUAAAGUUAGCAUGAUGUGUGUUAAAA